GCUAAUGACAAGUGUGGCCGUACCACCUGAUCUGAUCUCAGAAGCGAAGUGGGGUUGGGCCUGGUUAGAACUGAGAGAAGAGACCACUGGGAAUACCAAUUGUCACCAGGC
rnacentral:rRNA from 1 species